AAAAUGUUAACAUAAUAGAAAGAAACUUUAAAACAAUCGUAUGAAUAAGCAAUCAAGAAUAAAAGUUAUAAACUAAAAGGGUUUAAUUAGAAUUGACCCACAAUAAAAGGAAAAAUUUGAAAACAAAACAUUAGAAGAAAGGACUUCUGCGCGAUGCGCGCCAAUACACAAGGGCUCAAUCUGGAAAUAAUCCAGGCUAUCAAAACGCAGCUCAUAUGCCCGGACUAGACUGCAAAAUCAUGCAAAUUAUAAGGGCCGAAUUCAAAAGAAAUAAAUCUGGAUUGGGCCUAAUCGAACCACUGUACGAAGGGAGAGGACCAAUCUUGGAAAUAACCCUUCACCGCGAAAACACGCGGGUCCUGAGGGUUAAAGAGCUGAAUCGGGCCGGGCUAAAGAGGAGUGGCCUGGAUGGUGUCGUUUGAGACCACUAUUAUCGGUCUAAACUGCACCGUUUCCUAAUCCCUUAUAACCUCUAAUAAAACACCCCAUUUCAGCUGAAACCCCAUUCUUUUUCUCCUUUUCCAAACCCUAAAACUUCCCUCCUAAAGCUGCCGAUUCUCCUUCCCCUAGGAGCCAACAGAUUUAGGCUGGGGAAAACGCUUUACAGCCCUUCGAUCUCCUCUUGACUUCGAUUUCGACUAAGUAAGAGGAGAUCCAUGGCAUAUCCUCCAGGUAAACUCCCAUUUUCCUUUUUUAAUCAAACUUUCGAAUAAAGAAAAAGAUCAACAAAACAAAAAAAGAAAAAGAGAUCCAUUCGAAAGGGAACGCCCAGAGAUUUGAGUCAGGAAAUCACCUUUAGAAAAAUGGUUGCUUUGUAUUGCUUGAGUUUUUGUGUUUUUUGUUGCGUAUUUGCGCGUAAAAAAAAAAACUACAAUGAGCAGAGGCUUUGGCUUUAUAGCCGAAACAAAAAUAAGAAAUAUUCAAAAAUAAAAAUAAAAAUCGAAUACAAAUUCUCAUUUUGUUGUUGUCUUUUUUGUAUGUAUUUGCUACUGUGGUUUGUUCUCUUUCGCAGGUACGGGUGCUGUGCUGGCGUAUGGAGGCUUGGCGUGGUUGCUGGAGGCGUUGUACGGAGCGUACGGCGCUGGGGGAGGGCUGUUGCGGCGUAGGCAUGUCGCUAGGGUUUCUGUCUUGGUUUCAGUAUUUGGGUUAUACAAGUUUGGGUUAGGGCUUUGGUUAUUGGGCCAUGUAAUUGGACUGAGGGACUGUUUGGGUCUUUAUGCUUGUAAUAGGACAUUAAUGGACUAUCAUAAUAAUUUUUAUUUUUGUUGUAAUAAUUUUGGUUUUGUAUUUACACGGGCCCGGGCCAAAAUUGGUCCUUACAAACAUACAAUACCUUAAUUUACUUUUCUGAAUCAUAUAAUUGCCAUGAAUGUGGAUUAAGAAUAUUUAUGUUUAUGUUAAUUAUGAAAAUAUCAAACUAUAAUUUAAAUUAUAUGUUUGACCAUACGUAAAUCCUUACCUACUAUUUCAAACAAAAAUAUUUUUAUUUUUAUUACUAGAAAAUUAGCUUAAAUAAUUUUGAUUUGCAUAUUAAAGCAACGGUAUUUGUGCCAAUUUCUAGUUUUUUCUCCCCACUAAUAUGCUUAAUUAUAUGGAGCGAAAUAGCAACAUUUAAAGUAAGCCACCUAACAGCACUUAACAUUAACAUUAUUCAACACUUAAAUAUCCACAUCGUGCAUUUUUAAGGUAGCCUCAACGUAUUCGUAUUACAUUAUCGAAUAUAUAACGCCCUCAGGGUGAUGCUGAUGAGCUAGAUUGAGAGUUGAGCAGAGUUAUCUACCUCUUAUAGAGGAGUUCAUAUAUUGGAGGGGACAUGAUGCAACCCUUUUGCAUGAUUAUCCUAUUGACUGUUAGGUUACUUUGAAAAUUAAGGAAACGUUUUUUAGGGUGUGGUCGGAGAUGAUAUGAUGAUGAACUUCUUCUAACGAAGUGGGUUUAAUCAUGGUAUGAAGUCUUACUAAUGGUUAUGUAUAAUAAUUAUUCGAGUAAAAAAUUUUAAAAUUAAAUGUGGGUUUACUUGCAAUUAGUAUAAAAACAAUGGUGAUACUUUAGAUAUUAUAAUGAUACCAUAGCGUGAGACAAAAAUUAAACUAAACGUUUAAGAGCAACUUUGAAAGGCUUAACUGUUUGAAAAGAUAAAUAGUAAAAUAUAAAUGAUGAUAAAUUGAUAUAGACAAAUAUGGGAAACAACUCUUGUUGCACUACCAACAAGCUAGUACCAAUUUUGGUGGAAAAGGUAAUUAAAGGUAUAAAAAUGCUACAACCCACAUUGCAUUUGGCAAUUAAAGGUUGCAUGCUUUUGUAAUCUAAACCAUGCUUAAGUCCGUAUUCAAAUAAUUUAAAAUUAUAAAAAGUAUAAAUUUUCAUUAUAUUAAAUAAAGGUUAUUUUUUUAUAUUCUAAUAUUUAUGUAAAUAAUUUAAAAUUAAACUUGAAUGAUAGUUAAUGAUUUUAGAUAUAAGUUAAAUUGAGAUUGAAAAACCCAUUAGGAUGGAAUUAAAACACCAUUUAAUAUUAAAAUUACAACUAUCAAUCUCAACCCAAACCCUAAAACUAAAAUCCAUUUUGGAUCUGGAAAAGGCGAAGCUGACGGUGAACCAUGAGCGUCGAUGCUAGUGAUUCCUCAACUUACUUUGGUGAACUGAUCAGGGUCCUUGUCGAGAAAUGGCCGGGUACCGAUGGUAAAAUGACGCUCAGUUUGCACUUUUUGGAUCUGGAAAGGGAUGAAGUCUUUAUUAGAGCGAUGCCACCUGAUGCUUCUUUAUCUUCCACUGCCGUUGCCUGUGGCAACCACGUUUACGUUCUUGGGGGAAUACGCAAAAAUGAUGCUACUAUUUUUGGUUAUGAUGAUGUAAACGACAUUUUCCAAUUAGAUUUGAAGGACCUUGAACAUGGGUGGAGAAAAACUACUUCUAUGUUGUUCCCUCGGUCUUUUCCCCUGGUUCUUGCUGCUGAAGGAAAGAUUUACGGCUUCGAACGUAUGGGUUCUGAAUCUUUUGGCUAGGUUUACGAUAUAAGUGGGGAUAUUUGGGAACCAUUGUUGCCCCGUCCGGAAGGUAUCAGUCUAUGCGAUCCUGUUCUAGAUUCUUUCCGAUCUCGGAUUUUGGUGCACUGCAAUGCCAAUGAUACUCUUUACGCUUAUUACUAUGAUAGAAAAUCAUGGGUUUGCCUCGGACAAAAAUUUUGUUACUGGUCUGAAUCGGCGACAAUCGUGGACGAUGUGCUGUAUACUGUCAUUUAUAAUUAUUCUGGUAAGUUCCGUUCUUUGGAGGCGUAUAAUUUGCUUGAUAAGAAACAUUUGCCCGUUAAAUGGUCAUCAGAAUUUUCAGUGGAUCCAACAAUGAAAGGCAUUCUGUAUCGUUUGGGCAAUGGCAAGUGUAUUUUGGGUUGGGUCAACCAUAAACAUAUGAGUUUUGAGUACUUAAGAUUAACUAUUUGGUGCAACGAGCAGUGAGGGAUUCAUGCAACUGCAGAGCAUCAAUCUGUCAUCACUGUUCCAUAUCCCAAAGAUGUUUCUGAUGUAAUGUCGUUCUGAAUGAAGGUUAGAGCCCCCUUCAUAUCACUACUACAUCAUAAUUAUUCAUUUGCCAAUGCUGCUUGCCAUUACAUUUGGUUUGCUCUAAAUGAAGGUUAGUGCCCCCUUUACAUCACUACCACAUCUUAAUUACUCCCAUCCUUGUAAACUGAAGGAUUUUUCAUUUGCCAAUAUUGCUUGUCAUUGCAUUUAGUUUGCUCUUGUUGUCACUAAGAAGUUGAUAGUGAGCCUGGAACUUCCUGUAUAAAACUUGAGUAAUGCUAAGGUACAGAGUAGACGAAUCAGGCGUCGGAUUUGCAUUGUGUGAAAAUGUCUUCCUUUUACUAAGACUCAGUUUUAUUAGGACUAUGCCCCAUGCUCUAUUUGUUGUUUUAAAUGGGUACGAGGCUUCUAGCACCUUUAGAGAACUAGAACUCAAGUUCUGUCUUGCCUUACCCCCAAUAGUUGCUUCUAGUUUUUUCUUCCAAAAAAAUAUAUAUAUCCUGAUCUAAACAAAGGCUUAAAUUCCUACUUAGGAAGUUGGUAGACUACGAUAAUGUUUCUGCCUAAAAUACCAGAGCGAGGUCAUUACCUAUAGGCAAGUGAAGAUUUAGUAAAAUGAUGUCCUUUUGUCGGUGAUGGAUACCCCAUGUAAAAAUGCCAAUAUUGAUAAGGACUACGAUAACCUUGAACAAUAAGUAAACAAAGUAAAGCUUGACUGCCAGUUAAAUAAAAUUAGAAAAAGAAUUUGGGUGGGUUGUGUUGGACCAAGCAUGGCUCCCUUUUGGUAAUUAGGGUUGGAUCUAGUCGAAUGAUAUUGCCCAUAUUUUGUGCCGGGUCAGGGGCCUAGACAAACGUGAAAGGUGUUAGUAUCCUGUCUAGGCUCUACUUGUGAGCAGGCCUACCUAUGACCAAACUAUUACUUAGGUUGUAACUUCUACUUGACUUCCAUCCCCCCCUCCCCAAUAAUUACUUUUGAUAACCUCCGUCUCUCCCACUACUCAUGAUUGGUGUUACUUUUAUAUUAGUGCUUUCCUAAUAAAUUCCCAGCCCUUUUAACUUCACUCGAAGAGGCUAUACAGUUGUCCCAGAGAUGAAGGUUUGGCUCUCAAGGUUUCCUCAUCUUACUGAACAGAAAUUUUUGCAACAUGCAUAUGAUAAGAAGCAAGAUGGAAGUGCAGAAAUUAUAACUAUUACUAAGUGAGGAUAGAUUUAUUCAAUAGGCUGAAUUUGAUUUGAGAUAGUGAAUGUUAUUAGUUUGAUGAAAUCAGUAAGAGAGUGGACAAAGUAUUACUUAAGAAUAUAACUCUAAUAAAUGGGAAUUACUUAGUCCUACAAGUAGAGAAUUUGAAGUAGAGAAAAAGUAAUUAGUAGGGGAGGAAAAUGUUUAUUUGGAAAUUCUUGUUAAAUAUUUUGCCAUCCUAUUUCCGGUUUUGUAUGUCAUAUGAAUCUUAUGGUUUGGGAGUGAUAAUUAUAUCUGUAUUGGUUUUUCCUUGUUUCUUUGAUUUUGUUCUUGCGUGCUUGACUGAUGAAGCUCCAACACGUAAGAAGUCAAAAAUGAAAAUGGAAUGAAUUACAUAUGAAGAUGAAUGCUGCAGACUGCGGAGGUAUAUCUGAAAAACCAUUAAUAGAUUAUUUGUUUUGUUGGUUGUUGUGAGUGAAUAACUGUGGGUUUGAAAAGAUAGGGAGUUAUAAUAAUAAUGAUCUUACUCACUUUUCAUUGCUGUAAAAGGUCAUGGAAGCUUUUAUUAUUAUUAUUAACAAUGUUAAGUUUUAGGGCUUAUUUGGUGCCUUCUGAUGGGGUGUGCUGGGGGAUUUGUGUGUAUAUAUUUUGGUUAAAACUUUGAACUUGAUGAUGUAAUUGGGUGCUGAUACCGAAAUAUUGAGAAAGUUAAAAUUAUAUAGUAUUGUGAUUUUGCACUUUAUUCAGUUCUUUUAAGGCUCCCUCUCUUGCUCUUGCCCUUCAAAUAACACCCAUUACGUUUUUUUUUUUAUUUUUUAAAUUAAAAAAAUUCAAGUUAAAUAUUAGUCUUUGUAUUUGAAAAUUAAAUUAAACCUUCUUAGUCAGAGGGGGUUGGCAGGGGCUUGGACCUUUAAAAUGGAAAAUUGUUAUUUUGGCGUUAUAGAAAUUUUAAAAGUUUAAAUUAGUAAACGUAAAAUUAUACUUUGACCCCCUAAAAUUAAGAAAAUUUAAUUUAAUCCUUUAAAAUUUAAUAGAUAUAGACUAUUAAAAAUUAAAAUUUCAUUCUCUCCCUAAAAGAAUUUUUUGGCUUUGCCCCUGUUCGCUCUUAAAAGAUUUUUUUUUUUAAUUACAAAGGGAGGGCAAAGCCUUAACGGCAACGCAAUUGGCGCGGCUCGAACGUAGACCACACCUAGGACAAUGAACACCUUUGACCAUCAAGUCAACACACGAGAUUAAGAUCCACAUAACAUCGAUAUCAAAUCAUAUUUGGGACCAUAUAUUCUGAAAGAUCCACCCCAGCUGCAAACUUAUAAUAUCAAAACUUUUAUAGGAUUGCAGAAAAGACGAAUAAUUCAAAUGGACAUUUCGUGUCUUUUAACAUCCUAUCUCAUAAAAAAUCUCAUACAAAAUAUAAUAUCCAUGAUUCUUUCUUAAAAGCAAGAAUUUGUUGGAUUCCUACUAACUAGUUGAUUUGAUUUGGGUUCCUAAGGUAUUUAUGAAUUUGACAAAUUUCAUAUUUUUUUUAAAAAAAAUACCAUUUUAAAUAUGUAUAUUAUAUUGAAACUCAACCCAUUUAUUAUAAAUAUAUGAAUCUUAUUCUUACAAAAUCGUUAGGGCAUGUAAAGAAAAACUUACUAACAAUUAUAAAAUAAGAUGUAUCUCAUGUUUAUUUGUUUAUAUUGGUUUCAAGUUUCAAAGUAAAGUCAUUUUGUAGCUUAGUUGUAAUAAAGAAUAUAUGUUUAUGAGAAAUACUAACAAAUAAUUUACCUUUAUUUUACUUAAUAUUCUUUUGUUCAUUGGAAAGUAGUUACUAGGCUAAAUUAGUCGGGACUAGAAAUAAUAUUGAAAUUAGGUCGAAAUUUUGAAAAAUUAGAGAAAUAAAUUAAUUUUGAAAACACGUUUUUUCACAAUUGGUCAGAAAGUGCGCCCAAUUGGACUUGUUUUACCUUUAAACGCAUUUUCUGACCUUUAAAAUAAAAUCAGUUGCUUUGGUCAUAUGGCUAAAUGUUAGUAGUUUUAUCCUUGAGUCUUAGAUUUAAUUUCUUUCUUACACACAAUUGUAUUUUUUAUUUUAUGUUGUUCUAAGUUUUUUUUAAUUAAUAUUUUUAAUACAUAAACUCCUUUGGUUAAAUGGUUUAACAAUAAUUAUUUCAUUCUUAAGUCUUAGAUUCAAUUUCUCUUUUAAGUACAUUUGUAAUUUUUAUUUCAUCUUAUUUUAAGUUUUUUAAUUAAUAAAUAUAUUAUUUUCAAGUCUUUUUAUUUUUUAUUCAUCUUUUUAAUUAAUGUUUCUUUUAUUUAUAAAAUCAAAUAAUAAAUAUGUAAUUAUAUAAUAGAAAUAUAUAUUUUAUAUAUAUCAUUAUGUUAAAAAUAUUUGAAAAUUAAUAACUCCUUAAUAUAUAAAAUAAACAUCAACUAAUUUUUUUGAUAUAUUUUUCUUUAUAUAUAAUAUUUAUAUGUCAAAUAUUUAUUUUCUCCACGUAUGUUGUGGGUACGAUGAUUUCUUGUAACACCCAUAAUCGCUUCUGUUGUCAGAUUAGGGUUACGGAGUGUCGUUGUACGUUUCAGAACAUUAAGUAAUAAUAGCAUCAAGUUCACUAGAAUAAUUAACAAUAUAUAUAUUUUAAAUAAUUCAUAUUGAAGUAAACAUACACUUAUGGGCCUUAAAUCGAGCCUAUGAGACCUUAAAAAUAGUUUAAGAACAAUCAGAGAACAUUUCAAAGCAAAUCAGAAAGUUUAGGAAAAACUAAAUUUUUUUUAAAAAGACAGGGUUCGUACGGUUGUAUGGUCAGGCCAUGUGACUCAACCCAGGCCGUGUGGUGCAAGGGUACGCCUAUGUGGCUGACUGUGUACCUUUUGAAACAAUUCCACACAGUCAUGUCGCAGGCUGUGUGCUAGCCCGUGUAACAUUUGAAAUACCCUCACACAGUCGUGUCGUAGGCCAUGUGUUAGCCCGUGUGAAAACUGCACCUAAACACGUUCAGGGCACACGCCCGUGUCCCAGGCCAUGUGUGCCUAAAAAUGUCCAAAUUCAUUCUUGUAUCUCACCCAAAUACACAUGUACCUAACCCAAUUUAUCUCACAUGUUCACAAGUUUAUAAAUACACUUUAGGAUAACUAAAAUAUGUCAUUUCUAUUCAUCAAAACACACUAAAGUAUCCCAUACCAAUCACAUUAUAAUGUUCAUGCUAUUCAUAACCCUUUACACAUACCAACCAUUUAUAAACCAUACUAACUUAACAUGUUACUUCUAUUUCAUGACCCUUUACACAAACUUACUCAAUAUGUCAUUUGCCUUAUUACAUCACACAACCAUAUCACUUGCACCUAAAUUGGUAUCAUAUAUUCAUGCAUCAAAUAGUUAUAAAUACUCAAGGACAUAAGCAUAUCAAGUUAUACAACAUAAGCAAUUAUGCAUCAUUACACACCUAAAAUAACUAACUCAUACUAACUUACCAUUUCAUGUUCAUCGAUUUACUUUAACUUGAGAUUAACAUGUAUACCACAUUAGUUACUCAUACCACAACAUCAAAGUACAUCACAUACUCAUUACAAAAUACGUAUGAACCAUUAUAAUCAUGACCAAUUAUUCUUAUUACAUGCCAUAUAAGCUAAGAUGUAUUCAAAAGCUACCAAAUGAUCCCCAGAUAGUGUGAUUUCUUUGUGCUGAUCUGAUCUCUCGAUCCACAAAACGUAUCUACAAGAAAUAAGACAAUUGAUACGAGUAAGCUUUCAUAAAGCUUAUUAAGUCCGUCGAUUGAACAAUAAAGCUUAUUAAAUCAACAUAAAUAAUAAUUCAAAUAAAGAUUAGUUAACAGAGUUCCUGUCAAUCACAACUUUCAAAUAGACGAAUAGUUAUCAAAACAUUAUUUUGGUAUUUAUUUUCAAAUAAUCAGUACAGUGAGACCUCAUUUCGCUUAAUUAGUGGAUAAUACUCAUUUGAGCAUGCAUUCCGUACAAUCAGUGGAUAUCGCUCGUUUGAACCCAUUCAGCAGAACCAGUGGAUAUCGCUUAUUUGAGCAACUUUCAGUAUAAUCAGUAGACAUUGCUAUUUUGAGCAUGUUCAGUAUAUUCAGUAGAGAUUGCUCAUUUGAGCCCAUUCAGUAUAAUCAGUGGAUAUUGCUCGUUUGAGCAACUUUCAGUAUAAUCAAUAGACAUUUCUCUUUUGAGCACGUUCAGUAAAUUCAGUAGAUAUUGCUCGUUUGAACACAUUCAGUACAAUCAGUAGACAUUGCUCGUUUAAGCUCAUUCAGUAUUCCAUUUUUCUUUUUAAAGAUCAUACUAUUAUACAAUAUAAAAUUUAAGAAAAUUAUAUUAACAAAGGAUAUAAAAAUCAUUAGAAGUAUAAAUAAAAAUACGAACUUACAAGAUUGAUUUGCAGUAACGGCUUAGAGCAUCUUAAUCAAUGAUCGACGUUAUUUCAAUUCAUCAUUUCCAUUUUCAUUUACACACAUUAAUAUAAUCCAACAUUAUGCAAUUAGGUUCACAUAAAAUAUUUAUAAAUGUACUAAAAGUAAAUUGAACGAGCUUACCUCAUUAAAUUGCAGCAAAGACAAAGGUAUAAGGACUAUUCGUUAAUUUUCUCUUUUCCUCAGUUUUCCACAUGUUCUUGAUCUAAAAAUAGUAUUUUCAUUCAUUUAAAUAAUUCCAACAGUAAAAUUAACUCAUUUUAUGCAAUUAAGUCCUUUUUAAAUUUUUACAAAAUUACCCCAACAUUUUAUUUUUAUACAAUUUAGUCCUUAGGUUCAAAUCAUGCAAUUUAACCAUUUUAUAUUAAAUCCAAGCUUAGCCCAUUAAUUAACCCCCUCAUUACAGCCCAUACUUUCUAUUAUUUUGUAUCAAGUCCUUAUACUUUUAUUAUUUUCACAUUUUAAUCCUUGAACAUUAAAAUCAACAAAAAACUAUUUCACAAAACAUUCCUCUUCAGCAACCAAGUUUAAUAAUCUACCAUAAAACUUUGAGAAAAACUCAAAUUUAUCAAUGGCACAAUCCAUACCGUUCAACAGUUUUACAAAUUAGUUCUCGAGUUAGCUAGAUUAAGCUAUUGCGAGCUCAAAAACAUAAAAAUUACUAAAAACGAGCAAGAUUUACCUACUUAAUCGAUGAAACCUAGCUUGGCCGAAAGUUUCUCUUCUCAACAAUGGUGGAAUUAGUUUUUGAAGGAAUAAAUAAAAAGAUAGCCAUUUUUGCUUUUUAUUUUAUUUACAUUUUACUUAAUUUCAAAAUUACUAUUAUAACCUUACAAUUUCAAUAAAAUUUCCUGCAACUAGCCUUACAAACCGUCCGCUAUCUAUUCAAAUGAUAUAAUUAUCAAUUAAGGAGGGUUUAAUUGCACAAUUGGUCCUUCAAUUAUUUUAAAUUUUAACUAAAUAAGCUCAAUUUCAAUUUAAUCCUAAACUAAUUAGGACUAAAUGAGAAAUAGUCCAAAAGUUAGUGGAUUUAAUCAUGUCACCACGACUUGGACUUUUUAACCAUGGUUUAAUUACCAUUUAGUCCCUUUACUAUUUUAAAUCAAAAGCAAUUAAGUUUUACCUCUUUUACGCUUUAAUCAUUUUACCAUAAUUAAACAAUAAAUCAUUAAAAUUUUGGGACCAAACUUUAAUUCACAUAUAAAGCGAAUUUGUAGAUAUUUAAUAAAAUAUUUAUGGCUUUAAAUUACGAAAACAGGAUCCUAAUACCUCGUUUUCAAUAACCACUUGCCUUUUAAACCUAACCAUUUAUACUAACUUUUAAUUCAAUUAGUUAAAAUCCUCAAAUCAAAAUUCAAUAUAAAAAUUAUUAUUGACUCGUAUAAUUUAAAUACUAAUUAUUUGAACUUACUCGUCAGACUUAUGAUCCCGAAACCACUACUUUCGACACCACUAAAAAUCGGGCUAUUACAUUUCUAAUAUUAUAAAAUGGAAUAAUUAUUUCAAAUAUAAUUAUUAUUUUUAUAUGUAAAAUAUUUUAAAAAUAAUUAUUUUUCAUCUACAUUGUGGGUAUGAUAAUUCAAAUAUUUUUAUAUGUGAAAUAUUUCAAAUACACAUACAAAAAUAUAUAUAAUACUAAAAUUUACUACACUAGAGAUAUGGACAGAAAAGUAAUUUAUUAUAAUUUAAUUAAUACAAACUUGAAAAUUUAAGUUACAAUUAAAACUAAAUGUAAUAAAUAUAAUGUUACACGUACUAAAAUUGAUGGUUCAAUGGUAUUGUCCGUAGGAUAAACCGUUAUGGUGCUCAAUGUUGGCGUUGAGGGUUCUCGUGACGGCCAUUGUUAUCCUUACCUGGAACAUCGUUCACAGCAUCCAUCGACGAAUCUUGGAGUGUGCUAAACAUACUAAAAAAAUUAUAUAUCCCAAAAAUUGGCCUGGGCGGGGUGGAGUACUGGGGUGGUAAUGGGCUGAAGAUAUCAAACAUCAUUGAUAAUCUCGGAUCUGAAUGAUAAGAAUUGGAAUCAGAAAUCUUUGACUAAUAUGUGUAGCCUGACGAGCCAGAAAAAUAAUUAUCUGCCCCAAGUUCGAAUGAUGAGAACUAACCCCAGACUAUGUAUAAAACCGCUUGGGUUCGGGCUCGGGCUUGUGCUCAGGCUCAGGUUGGGGUAUAGGAGGCAGAUGCCCUAGUCAAUGGUGUUGGUGCCCUCAUUAGUGCAUGUGUGGAGGGACUAGUAUCAAUUGCCCAACAUAAAUAUGGUUUCUAUAACACCCCGAUACCCAACCCGAUCACCAAGUCAAGGCACCGGGAUGUCACGUUUAUUGCUGAAGUAAUGACUAAAAAUUUCAGAUUAAUUUAUCAUAUUAUUUAAUUAAUGUAGAUCAUUAACUUAUUUUAAUAAUAAUUGAAUUUACUACAGAACUAAUUAUGAGUUAAAUGAGCUCAUUAAAACAUCCAUAAUUGAUCAAAAACCAAAUUGUGAAGUUUAUAAAAUUUUUGGAUUGUCGUCGCGACGUUGGGGUUUCCACGUUGUGACAUAGUGAACUUGUCAUCGUGACGUCGUUUCAAUUUCUUACAAGUUUCGUGCUUUAUUUUUAUUUAUUUAUUUUUAUAUCAUUACCUAAACCGUAUUCAGAUGUCAUAACUGUCACUUCAUUUUACAUAUCAUCCACUUAUAUCUAUUUCUAAUCUCAAGUUCUCAUAAAAACAUGAUCUUCAAUCAAAGAUAACAAAGAUUAUAAAAAUACACAAAUAUUAAAGUUUUACAAAUAAGACCAUUAGAGGACUUGUACUUUCAAAAGUAGUUCACCCACUUUAUGUAUAUUUCAUAUUUAUUUCUAAAUUAUGCCAAUCAAUUUAAUUCUUCAUAAAAUUUUAUCAAAGACUUCAAUAUCACAUUAAUUAACAAUUAUUCGCUUAUUAGUUUAUUAAUUCGUUUAAACAUACUCACAUAUAUUAAUCAUUCCAUCGCUUACAACCAUUUUAAAACAUUUCAAAUUCAUCUAAUAUAUAUAUAUAAAUUUCCUUCUUCUCCUUUCCACUCUACGUUCUUUGUGUAUAUAUUUAUUAGAAUCUUUAGCUUUUAGUAUAUAACAUGUUUAUAUGUAACAUUAUCUAUAAUUCCAUUAUUUACUUAUUUGUUCAUAUCAAAGCUGUCCCCUUGAUUCAUAGUCACUAAUUUAUUUAUAUCUUGAGUUACAAAAUUUGAAAUUAAGAUCCGCUUAAUGUUUUUGAAACUAGACUCAAAUAUCUUUUUACCAUAAAAAUUUUAGAAUUUAUAAUUUAGCCAAUCAGUACAGUAUAUUCUUCAAAAUUUUCCUUGUUCUACUGUUUGACAGCUUCGACUUUCUUUAUUAAAAAUAAUUAUCUCUUAGUACAGGGUUCAAAUGAUGUUUCCGUUUGUUUCUCUUGAAAAUAGGCUCAUUUAAACAUAUAAAUUUAAACCUCUAAUCAAGUUUUUUAAAUUUUUUGAUGAUUUUCCAAAUUCAAAAUAGGGAAACCUUAAUCCACUCCGACCUUAUUUCACGAAAACUAAUAUAUCUCAAAAUAUAAAAUUUCAUUUCUUUCACCAUUUCUUCCAUAUGAAGCUAGACUCAAUAAUAUUUAAUUCCAUAUUUAAUUCAAUCUCUAAAUAAAUUUCUAUAAUUUUUGAUGAAUUUUCAAAGUUAAGUCAUUAUUGAUGUCCAAACUGUUUUAAUGAAAAUAUUUUUUUCCAUGGUUCUUUGCACUAUCUUUCAUUCAAUCACACAUAAUUGCCAUUCUUUUGGUUACUACAAAAUUUAAUCACUUAUGUCUAUAUGUAGAUUACAUAUUUAUUUUUUAAUCUUAGUACUUUUCACCAUACAAAUCACAUUCUCUCUUACCAAUUUAGUGUUUUAAGUCUCUAUUCUUCAUCAAAUACUUUCUAUUUCUAAUAUUUAGAUUAAAUACAUGUUUUAUACAUCCCACUCAAAACAUUUUUAACUCAAUCUAUUGAAAUACAAGUAAGGUUAAUUUGAAAACUUACUUCUUUUGACAAGAAUUUCAUCUCUUUUGCUUCUCUUCCAUUUCUUUCUCAACUUCAUUACUACCCCUCUCUUUCCAUCUAUUUUUCUUCACUUCCAUCUACUUGUUUCUUGCUUCUAAGUUGAUGAACAUACUCUCUAAGAUCUUUACUUCCAUUUUCCUUUUUAGAAAUUCUUAUGAUUUUGAGGUGAACUAGUAGAAUUGAAUAAUCAAUGACCAAAUUAUAAAAGAAGGAAAUGUUUUUAUUUUCUUUCCUCCAUAUGACAUUCACGUUGGGAAGACGAGGAUGAAGAAAAUUCUUCAUCUUUCCUCCCUUUUUAUAGUAACAUUUUAUUAUUAAAAUAUUAUCAAAAAAUUUAAUUUAUUUAUUAUUAAUAUAUUAUUUAAAAUAUCACCAACAUCAUGAUUACAAUCCAAUGACCUAUAUUUUAUACUUUAAGGCUAAGCAAAUCUAAUGGUCAUAAUUCACCCAUAUAUUCAAUGUCAUUUUGGUAAUUUUCUCAAAAUUAUUUAUUAUUAUUUUGCUAAAUGACUAUUUUGCCCUUGGUCAAGUUUUAUAUUUCCAUUUAUGUCCUUUUCACUUUUGGUUAUUUUUACUUUUAGUCUUUCAACUUUUUGAAUUUACACUUUAACCUCUCAACUUUUGAAUAUUCACAAUGUGACCCCAUCACUUCACUUUUUUACAAUUUAGUCAAUACCUUAAGUUUAUAUCCCACAAUAUAAUACUAAAUAUAUAUUAAUUUAUAAUUUAUUCAUUUAUUUUUGGACAUUCUCCAUUAUCCAAUACCUUCCUCUACUAACAUUGAUAUAUUUUAUUUCAUUUACUCAAUAAUUCAAUUAUACGCUUUCUAAAUAUAUCAUUUUACAAAAGUUAGGAUGAUGAUUUUAGGGGCAUUAGAAACAUUCUUCCAGAAAUAAAAUUUCAUUCUUGAAAUUUUCUUAAUUUGAGUAAUUAUAAAUUUCAUUAUUUCUUUACUUUCUUUAUUCCCUUGUGAUCAUAUAUCUAAAAUUUCUUUAUCCCAAUAAUGCACUUGCUUCUAAAUUCUUCCAUCUCUUGAACAUAUAUUUUACUUAUCCUUCUAAUUCAUAUAAUUUUCUUUCUUUCGUUUCUUCAUAAAUUUAUGUUUUCUUGUAUAUAUUUUUAGUCUAUCAGUUAUCUAUAACCUUCAUAUAUCCUUAUAAUUUUUGACAUAAAUCUUGUCCUUCCAUUAAUUAACCACAAUAUACACUUCACUUAAUUUGCAUUACACCGCUAACAUAUAACUUACCAUACCAUUCCAUGACCUCCAAUACCAAGUAUAGGAUAUUCUAACUUACCAAUUUCUAUUUGAAGUUAAAUAGUCUCUUCUCACCUUUACUUUAUGGUCAUUGUAAACUUUAACAGUUCAAUACACUUAGCACAUCACCUUAGUUGUUUUAUUAAACUAAUACAUCAUCGUAUUAUUAUUUUCAUUCAUUAUUCUAAUAAUAGGAUUUCAAAUUAUAAUUUACUUAAUUGAAUUUCUUAUUACAUUUUUCUUUAACAUCUCUUAUCCUUUACUUUCUUUAAUCUUAUUUCACUAAGAAUCUAUCUCAUAUUAUUUUCUACCAAGGGGGUUUUGAGAAUCCUACAGUUUCUCAUUCUCGACGUACCAGCGUUGGUACUCAAUCAUGGGCCACAAAUAAAAAAGCAAAAUUAUUGAUGUAAUGCUUAAAUUUUAUCACCUAUUUACAAGUGGGAAGACAUGUUUGGUGACUAAUUGAUGCAAAAAAUGACAUUCUCUACAGUGCCCAAGUCUGUAGCCAUAUUAGGCACCCGCCUAUGUCUUGUGUAUUGUGCUUUGUCGUCUAACAAUUUUUUUUCAAUUUACUCUUCGAAAUAAUAUUCAAAAUAAAUAUUUACCACUUUGAACAUCAUAAAGACACAAUUCAUCAUCCGCACUAAUAAACUUUGAAUUACAAAUUUUCAUAAUUAAACUACUCACACUUACUUUCUUUUAAUUAUUCAUUUAAAAUCAUCCAUCGUUCUGUUCAUACAUAAACAUAAUAUUAUCUUUACUUAGAACAUCGAAAAUAAUUAUACAAAAUUAAUUCUUACAAUAUCUCAUCAAGUUAAACACACCAAUAAGUAUAACAUAAUAAUUUAAAUCACUUACCAGCUUAAUUUUUUAACUAAUGUCUUCAUAUACCUGUGCUUUUUCACAGUUCCAUCUUCAUUUUCAAGCCUGGAUACAUUGGUUUCCUAUUUUCUCUUAACUUCUUUCACUUCCAACUCCAAUUUCUUACUUUCAAAUUGAUAAUUCAAAUUGAUAAUCAAACUGUUUAGGAUCUCUACUUCACUUUUUCUUUUUGGUGACUACAGAAAUUUUCAUGAAUUUUGGAUGAAAUGGUGGAUUUAAUGGAAAAAACUCUAAAUUGCAUAAAGUUAAAUUGCAUAAAGUGCAAACUUUGUUUCUUCUCCCUUUCAUGGACAUCGUGAACUUUGUGAAAGUUUGAAGAAUUUUAUUCAUACUUUCUUUAUAUGUAUCACGAGUUCAAUUAAUCAAUACGAAUUUUCAAAUUAUAAUACCACGAGUUAUUAAAUUCAAGUAAUCAAUUUAUAUUUUUAUAAUGUUCUAAAUUUAUAAUAGAAUUUUAAUUAGUGAACUUAAUAGUUUAUUAAAUUGAUAUCUUUAAUUUCACUAAUUGAAUAUUAUUUUCACUUAAUAAAAUAUGAUUAAUUAAUAUCUUUUUCAUGUGAAAUUUAAACAAAUUAUUGAAAUAACAUUUUAAUUAAUAUCAUUUUUAUUCAAUAAAUUAUGAUUAAUAGGGUUGCUUAUAUGAAAUAUCUAUAAUUUUACUUAAAAUUUUAGGCAAUAAAGAUUGUACUUCUUAACUAUUAUUAUUGCAAUUAGAAGUGAAAAGUUGUUAUAGAGUAUUAGAAUAAAACAUAAAAAAUCGAAUCUAUUAGGAACUUAAUUGUUAAAACGAAAUGUUAUUAUAUCAAAUGGUCGAUAUAGAAAGGAUUGACUAUAUUUCAGAGCUCGUGAUUAUUCUUUCCAACAAUAUUUGAUUCUUUAAUAUUAAUACCCGAUAUAAUUAUCAUUGACAUAGUUGAGGAUCGGAAGAAAUGGUAGAGAAUGCAAUGGAGGGGUUGAAUUAAUAUAUAUAUAUAUAUAUAUAUAUAUAUAUAAAGAAAAAUAAAACCCAAGCUAGCAUUUAAUUCAGUAGUUUCGUCUUAUUACUUACUUUCCCAGAUAGUUUAUCAACUUCGAAAAAAUAAUAAAAAACUGAAAUUCAAUAAAUACCUGUUCUGACUAAUUUGUUCGAUCGGAGAUGAUGAGGAAUAUGAAGAAAACAGACAAAAGUUGCAGAUAAUAUGAUAGAGAGGAGCCCCUCCAAAGGGUUUUUCUAUGUCUCCCCUUAAAUCAUCUUCACUUAAGCAAGACUUACCUUAAUCAAUACAUUGAAAAUUACAUUCUAACCUAUUAUUAUUAGAUUAAUUUGAGGAUAAAUUUCGAUCAAUAAAAAAUUCAUUGUCAAGAGUUCUAAAAGCACCACUACAUUAAUGAUGAACAAAAAAUCAUGUUUGGAAUGAUCUAUCCUCAUCAGUGUCUCGAAACUCAAUACUACAAUCAUCGUCAUAGUUCUUAUGAUAAGAUCGUUUGAGAAUGGUUCCCAAUAAAUGUAGCAGCACUAUUGUCUUGGCAAAUUUCAUAUAUAAGCGUAGUAAGCAACAACCACAAUAGCUUUAAAAAAAAAUUGGAGUAAACAGUAAGGGCUUUCAUAGAAACAAAAUAGAUUGAAAUAAGAAUCAGGAUAAUUUUUUAAGAAAACAAAGUGGAUUGAAACUAAAAAGAAUACAGUUGAAAAAGCCCCUACCGACAACUAACUAGAAGACUGAUGCCUCCGCGGACAAGAUUAAGUUUUGAUUCUAGAAAGUGAGUUUUUUUAUUUUAAUUUAUCAAAAUUUAGCUUGUAUAUUUCAUAAAAACUAAUAUGUUAAGCUCAAACUUCUCAAUUUUUACUAAUUUAUGAUAUGUGAAUCGUUGAAGUGCUGAUUUUUUAUUUUGUAAUUCCAUAAACUUGUAUCAUCAUAGUAAAUAACCCUAGAUCUCCCUGGUCCUCAUCAUAGCAAAUAACCCUAGAUUUCCCAGGUCCCGACUUUUUUAUUUUCUAUUGCAUACAGUACUAACAGAGCAUUUUGUCAAAACUGGAAAAGAAAUUAGGUGCAGCCUAAUUAAUAUAGGUACCAGGGACUAUAGUUUCAAUGCUGAAAGGGAAAGGAAAAGAAAAAAAACCAAAAUGCUGCAGAUUUGGUGUAAUAGUUCUCAAAUUUGUUUGAAGAUUUCAAAGAUAUAAUAGCAACUCUUAUUGACUAUUAGUCUAUGGCACUCAAAACUGCAAACUCCAAAGGCACCAUUUGAUCUAAAUCAUCAUGUAUGUUAUAGAUUGAGGAACGUCGAAAUCAGUUUCAUAAUAAAAACUUCAUCAGAAAUUGCAUUCAUUUUUAUUUUACUAAUACUUUGAGACCCUUUUAUGAUUGCUAUAAGAUUUUUCCAAUAAAUAUGUUCAUACAAGGUUUGGUUGACGUGAAGUUAGUUGGCUCAUCCCAUUUAAGACAAGGUGGAAAGCCAAUGAUGGUGACCGAAGUAUGGCCUUUGGUGAUGAUAGCAUACUUGCUUAGGCGACCAUAAGAUUAAUUUAAUUAAAGUUCAUAAUACAAAAAAAAAACAUAAAAGUAUCAUAAAUUUUUUUUAUUAUGAAUUAGAUUACAUUUUAUCUCUUUUAACUUAUGAUUGAAAACACACUAUUGAAGCUUCUAAGAAGAAAAUUUGUUUAAUAAACAAAUCUUUUGAACUAAAUGUACUUUUAAAAAAAGUGGCGAAGAUUAUAUCUAACAUGACACUCUUUAUUUCAUAAUCUAAAACCAUUGUUAAAACAUGAUUAAUUGAUUAUCAAUGAGAGGAAGUAAUUUUUCUUUGUUUGUUUGAAAGUAUAGAGAUUCGUAUUUUGUGUAUAAAUAAUUUCAUGUUUCAACUUUGCUUACCGCCAAGUUGAUUUUAAAGUUUUGGAAAAGGUUUCGCCAUGGCUGGCCCUGUCUUACUUUAAAUUCAUGAAAGACUUUUUUUUGGUUUUCUUUUUAGAGCUGUUGAAGUUGAAUUCCCAUACAUGUGCAUUCAAUAUUCUCUUUUACUAAUUGUUUGCAUGCUAGAAAACUAAUUUGGGCAAAAAAAUGUUGGUUCUAGAAACCCUUUUUUUAAUCUUACACAUAGUACGAAGAGAAAGUUUCAAAGUAAUUCAAUAAGCAUACUUAUUAUGUCGCUCCUAAAAUGAUAAUUUUUUAUUGAAUUACUUUUUUUUGGUACCAUUUGUAAGAUUGAAAAAAAAGGUUUCAUUGAAAGAUAAUUCAAAGUGGUAAUUGUUGAAUGUUUUGUAUGUUGAUGCUCUAAUAGGAUGGUGAUGAUGGAUUGUGCAUGGUUGAGCUGGCGAGGAGAUAUUAAAAAUUGUGAUUAGAGAGUUUUUUAAUAUUUAAAUUUACAUAAGUGUAAUGGUAUAAAGAAAGAGUUAUUAAUGAGAAUAAAGUUUAAAAAAAAAAAAGAAUGAUAUUUAAAACCCAUUCUGUUACGGGUGAAAGCUAAGACUAAAAAAAUCACAUAACCAUGUACUUUUCACCACACAUUCAAAGGUACCUAUCAUGGGGUGUGGGCAAUUGACAUCAUUGGUUUGCCAAUCUGGCUAGUGACUAAGUUGUUAGCCUUCUAAAAGGUGAAUUAGUCAUGCCGGCACUCUUUUGGCCUUCAACUUUCUUUAGGCAUAACCUGUCGUAUAUUGGUGUAUUAUUGUCCUUGGAUCCAAUGGUACCCUCCUUCCUUCAACUUUCUAAAUUUGUAUUGCUUCAUACAUUUCAUUAUUCCUUACAAAAAUAUCCAUAUCUGAAAAUAUAAUUUUUGCUAAAUAAAAUAUUUUUAAGAAGAAAAAAAAAUAAAGUAGAAAAUUUUAACUUUGGGGAAGAAUGAUGGCAGAGGGCAUUUAUUACACAAGAAUUGCAUUGUCCAAUCGUAUUUUCUUUUUCCAUUUUGGUAUAUAAACAAAGCUACAUACAGUGGAGUAUAUACAUACAAAUACAAAUACUAAAACGAGUUCAUUUCCAGAAGAUAGCUCCUCGCCUUAAGCAAUUCCCUGACAGCAUCCCCAUAUACGCCAUUCCCGAAAGCCUUCACUGCCAAAUCAGCAUCUUCCACGUCAGCUUCCCUCCCAUUGUGGGUCCAAUCUUUCACCGCCCUUACCACCACCAGCGUCGCACCCAAUCUUGGCUUAUGCCUCAUCCUCAUCCUUACACUCGGGACCACUGUCCUCCCUCUCUCCUCCUCUUCUUCCUCCAUCCUCACGUGACUCUCACGUGCCUCCCUCCACUCCCUCAGCCCUUGUUUCUCCAUUACCACUUCCCCUUCCCCUUCCCUGUCCGUUAUAACUAACUCUUCCAUCCCCUUGUGUUCCCUAACCACUUCCCGUAACAGGAAAUGCCUAACGGAAGCAGCCAUCAACGCGCUUAUCGUCCACAUCAUGCGCCUCUUCAACCCUCCCGCGAACUCCGUUUCGUAAUUCCCGUCAUGACCCAAACGGAACCCAAAUAUGACGCAGGUUUUCAACGUCUCGCCGAACUCCGCUCUCCACUUAACCACCGUGCCUUUCUCUAAUUGAAGAUCCCCGGCCGGUAAUUCCACGUGGAGUUCCCUGAUUCGUUGGAACCGGGAGAGGAUUUGAGCCGGGUAAGUGUGCGUCCGGUUCGGGAGUGGACUCUGUGUAGGCUUGGGGAGGAUGAAAUUGAAAAAGGACUUGAGGAGGGUGAGGAACAGCGAGUCGGAGUCUGACUCCGACGAGAUGACGCGGUCGAUUUUCAAGAGGAUCGAAUCAGUUUGCGGUACGAGAGAGUUGAAUCGUUUGGAGACGGAACGGCAACGUAUCAGGCUUUUGACGUCGGAGACUGAGUUGAAGAUCAGGAGGAUCAGAGAAUCCGGUAGCUGAUCAAAGCCGUCCAUAUUUUUUUCUUCAGUUUUUGGUUCAUGCUUGGCAGUUCGAUAUUUAUAUAAAUUGAAAAAAAAAAGCUUUGAAGUUAAUGAUAAAAGAAAUAAAAACGAAAGGUUUAAAUUGCUCUCAGUCUCUGUAGUCUUCAGAGUUUUGAACCUUAGUCCCUAUGUUUUUUAUUUCUAGAAGUUUAAUCUUUUUACUUGCCUAAUAUGAAAAUUAAAGUUCAUUUAUUCAAAUUUAACAGAAUUAAAUUAAAAAUAUUAUCAAUUAAAUUUUAAUUUUAACAUCAAACAAGUAAAGGGACUAAACUCUUGAAAUUGAAUUUUAAGGGACCAAUAUUUAACUGUAUAAGAAUACAGGGACUGGAGCAUAAUUAGACAAAAAUAAAAGGCAUUAAGGAGUGGUGGAGUACGUUUGACCGUUGACCUGUAAAACAGUUGGGCCCCUAAUAAAUUUUGGCGGGUAAUGCGUCAUGAUCAAAAAAUGUAGCGUUGUCGUUUUAAUUAUCCCAUUGAGUCUCUCGUUUGAUUUUUUUUUUUGAUUAAGAUUAUAAUUUAUUUAUGUUGAAUUUAAAAGAUUUUCUUUGAUCACUUUGAAACAAGGGCAUUAAAAACAA
rnacentral:lncRNA from 1 species